GGUCGGAAGAGCUUAGCUUCCUGCUGUGCAGUGUUUGCUAGUGUAAGUGAAUGUGAUGACUGGUGAUUGGUCAUAGGCAUUUCCAGGGUAAGUACUUAAGAUUGCUGUUUAUAGCUUCUUAGACUUAAUGACUCCGGAGCAGUGUGUUCCUUCCAGCUAACACAAGAGGCCAGCAGACAACCAACAACUUAGACCUAUUGAUGUCUAAACAUUAAAACUAAGCCAGAUGCUACUAGUCACACAUAUGUCAUCCUACAGUCUGGAAGCAGAAGCAGAGGGGAGGAUCAAAAGUUUGCAGCUAGUGUGGGGUACACGGCACCAGGAUGGCCUGAUGGAGAAGGGAGGAAGUGUGGACUGUUCGCCUCGAGCAGUGGUCACUGCUGUAGAGUGAGAUGGAGGGGUUAGCCUGAAGUGUCCUAAUGCCCCUACCUGAUGCUGCUUAACAACUGCCUUACUUUUAGGUUACGUUUCGUACAAGAAUUUAUCACUGUAAUAUUAAUAGCCAAGGAGUUAUCUGCUUGGACAUAUUGAAAGACAACUGGAGCCCAGCACUAACCAUCUCGAAAGUCCUCCUCUCUAUCUGCUCACUCCUUACAGACUGCAAUCCUGCCGACCCUUUGGUGGGAAGCAUUGCCACUCAGUAUAUGACCAACAGAGCAGAGCACGACAGAAUGGCCAGACAGUGGACCAAGAGAUACGCUACAUAAACUGGGUUUUCACAGUUCUUACAUGAUUGUCU
rnacentral:lncRNA from 1 species